CAGCACAGCUCUCACCGAAGUCACCGCAUUCAUUUCAAGAAUGAAUUCCUACAAGGCUUUGCGAUCGGCAAUCUUUGCCGCUGUGAUACUUCAAACAAUCAUUAUGUGCUUCUGUGACUCGGAAAUUGUGCCUAAAGCUCGGGAGCUGCAGUGU
rnacentral:lncRNA from 1 species